rnacentral:rRNA from 1 species
GGGUGCGAUUAUACCAACGUUAAUGCACCAGAUCCCAUCAGAACUCCGCAGUUAAGCAUGCUUGGGCUAGAGUAGUACUGGGAUGGGUGACCUCCCGGGAAUUCCUAGUGUUACACCCU